ACGAACGCUGGCGGCGUGCUUAACACAUGCCAGUCGAACGGAAAGGCCCUGCUUUUGUGGGGUUCUCGAGUGGCGAACGGGUGAGUAACACGUGAGUAACCUGCCCUUGACUUUGGGAUAACUUCAGGAAACUGGGGCUAAUACCGGAUAGGAGCUCCUGCUGCCUGGUGGGGGUUGGAAAGUUUCGGCGGUUGGGGAUGGACUCGCGGCUUAUCAGGUUGUUGGUGGGGUAGUGGCUUACCAAGGCUUUGACGGGUAGCCGGCCUGAGAGGGUGACCGGCCACAUUGGGACUGAGAUACGGCCCAGACUCCUACGGGAGGCAGCAGUGGGGAAUAUUGCACAAUGGGCGGAAGCCUGAUGCAGCAACGCCGCGUGCGGGAUGACGGCCUUCGGGUUGUAAACCGCUUUCGCCUGUGACGAAGCGUGAGUGACGGUAAUGGGUAAAGAAGCACCGGCUAACUACGUG
rnacentral:rRNA from 1 species